UACUGCAGCCCACCAUCAGAGGGUGCUGUUCUCGAAGUGGCUUCACCCAGCGAGGAGGCAGACUCUGUCCAUCUUAUAUACAGUCUAUGGGUUGGAGAGGUAAACACUGGAGGUGCGCUCAGAGAUGACGCCAUCAGAACAUGUCCAUAAAACCACCUCCGUCUUUUUUUAUUUAUUUGUAUUUUGUUUGUUUAUUGUUGCAGACUGUGAUGUCAUUUUAUCACUUUUCUUUUUUUUUACCCAGAAUUCUUUAUUGGAAACAGCUGAUGAUCAGAGCGAACUGAUUCAGAUAUUUAUUCUAAUAAAAUCGCAUUAUGAUUAAAUAUCAGAUAACACGUUCCCAUGGAGACCAACAAAGCAACAAGGACAUUAAAGAACAAAUUUUAUUCAAGUCUGAACAGCUCAGGUGGAGUUACAGCGCCCCCUCAGGUGAACAUCAAUCACUGCAGUCCACCCUCUCGCCACCUAAGGGUCUCAGAGACUGUGGACGAAGAAACGGGAACACCUGGACCCCCGCGGACACACACACACCUGACCUGAAGAGGACUUCAGACUCCACCCAUCGCUGCUCACAUGGCUCCGCCCCCUCCAACAAAACUUCUCCAGGUUACACUGAGAGACAGGAAGAUAGGUGUGGAUCAGGAUAAAGGGCCACAGGUGUGACAUUAACUAAAGGGCCACAGGUGUGACACUAACUAAAGGGCCACAGAUGUGCCGUUAACUAAAGGGCCAGAGGUGUGACAGGUGUGUUAUUUACCAGCACGUUGACUCUGCGUCUCUUUAGACGUUGACAGAGUCCUGGAAGUCGUCUCAGGUGUUCUGCUCUUACAGGUGAGUUUGAGUUCAUGGGGACCUUCACCUGUCCACAAACAAGACCAGAUCAUUGGACCACCUAGUCUAGGACAGCAUUAAACUGUAAGAAUAUAACCAACACAAAGAGCAGCUGAAACAGGUCAGAGGUCAGAGGUCAUUGACCCGGCUUCAUCUGUGUUUUUAUGUAUUUAGUUUGACAGUAAUCACAGAUGGACCUCACAAAACCACAAAAUCAAAGUUUAAAACACCUGAUAUUAAAGUAAAUUUGAGUGAUAAAAACAUGAAAACACUUUUGAAUGUUCAGAGACUCAACAGUGCGAUCGUUUCACUGUAACUAAAAAUAGAUGUGUGCGAAUUGUCAAAUGUAUUUUGGGUCACAUGUGCGAAUAAAAAAAAAUUUUCCCUGUAAAUACAGUAAUGAAGUUAGUUUUAGUCGACGUCAGGUGUCGAAUAAGGGACCGUCAAUAAAUUACUGUUGAUGUUCUCAGAAAAGGCUGUUUACCUUCAAUAGCUUCCAUGUCAUGUGACCAAAAGACCUCAAAUCGACUUCAAAUAAUAGUACUAAGGUCGGACAAUAAGACAAACAUUAUUGAUCAGUUUUCAUUGAUCCCCUAAAGCUCUUUGUGUGCUCCUUACCUUUUCAACUUAGGAGAACAUGUGAAUAUAGUCACAUAUAUAUAAUAUAAGACCUGAGUCUGAGGAAUAAUUCACACAAAGACAGACUUCAUCUGAUGUUUGUUAUAGACUCUGAUCACACACACACACACACACACACACGCACAAACACACACACACACAUACAUAAACUCACUAAAAAUCAUUCAGAGGAUUUUCCCAGAAUGCACCUGUCCUACCUGCUGCAGGGUUGAGGCAGUUGUGAAGAGCGGCAGACUGGAGUCGACUCUGAGACACAGACAGAAGGUCAGCGAGAUGACCGUUGCGAUGACGCACACACAUGGCCUCAUCUGUCAAUCAAUCAAUAUGUCUGAUAAUCAAUCAAUCAAUCAGUCCAUCAGCUGUCAAUCAUUCCUCCCUCUAAUCUUCUUCUUCUGGGGUUUAAGAAACAGGAAGCUCUGAUCCACUUAGUCUGUCACAUGCCCAGAUCAGUGACAUCACAAAGCUCUCCUCCUAUCAGAAGAAGAAGAAGACAUGUGAGAACAGGUGACCUUUGACCUCUGACCGCCAGGUCUUGUUUUUAACGUCUUUGAACUGAACUGGGGUGUAAAUCACCAAAACUGAAGCAUGUGGUGUGUCAUACAAGACAAGUGUACAUGGUCUUAAAAGACAAAAAUAAUGUCUUUUUCAUUCAAAGUUGAUGGAUUUGUGUACGUUGUAUUUGCAUAAUCGGAAACGAUCAAGUGUUUUAGUUGUGGUGCAGAGGGGCACCUGAUUUGCUCCUGUCCGGAGAAGGAAGGAGCACAGCGGCCUGCUGCCAGGGGGGAGUCCACCCACUGCUGCAGCUGCUGCUGGGGGCAAUCCGCCCGCUGCUGUGGCUGCUGCUGCCGGGGGGAGUCCGGCCACUGCUGCGGCCGCAGUAGCGGCCGCUGCUGCGAGAUGGGUAUUGCAGCAGACCCGGAGACUCUCGUGUGAGGGCUAUCGUGUGAGGGCUCUCGUGUCAGGAUGCAGAAACCACGCCCCUCUAGCCAUGACUUUUCAGAAUAAAAGCACAGAAAGCAGCCCGGAGUCAAAAGUUUAUGCCGAUAACGAUAAACAAAAGAAAUAUGGAGAUUGUGUAGGAUGUAGUUGUUAUGUACAUCUUGCACAGAAGAUGAAAAACAGAGGCAGCGCUGGAGAGGGUGGUGGUCAGUAUGCUAAUGUAGCAAUCACAACAACCCUGGGUGUGAAACUCACACAUUCCUCACAGGAAAGUUUCCUUAUCUGGUCCCAGGACACAGGAUAUAAAUCUUUCCAGACAUGUUUACACUUUCAGGUUACCUAAAUGACCCGACCGGAGGUUGACUAAACCUCUGACUCUUCACGAUUGGUCAAUUCGGAGAACAGAGACAGAGUUUUUAUUACCUUUCAAACUGACUCCAUUGCUGACCAUCUAAAUAAACAUUAACGUCUCAACCCAGAUCUCCCAUUUGAGAUUUACCGUCUUAAAGUGUGUGAACAUACGGACCCCAGGAUAAGGGGGGACACUGACCUCCAGACCUCGGCCGUAAAACCCUGCUCGACCAUACACUGAUAAAGACUACAUUCCUUUGGUGAAAGAAUACAAAUGACUGAUCAUGACAUCUUAUGCAUUCAGCAAUGUACUAAUCUGUCUAAUCAUGAAAUUUGUGUUAAAAUGAGAUGUUCCACGUUUUUCUAUGUGCUCCAGAGGCCGAGUUACAGAAUAAAUCCUUUAUUCUUUAGUUUCUUUAGACCAACAGCUUUUCAGACUGUUUCAUGAACUUUUAAGAGUUAACUUUGUUGACUAUGAAUCAUAACUUUACUCUUAAGUAACAGAAAUGGCUUAGAAAUGUUUGGUUUAUAUUUUAGUUGUUUAUUUAGUAUUUUUAACCAUUAGGUGGUUGUAAUGUCAUUGAAUGGUCUGAAUGUAAGUAUUUAGAAUCCAUUAUUAAUCAUGAUGAAGUUUAUUCACAUGUGUUUACUCUUUUGUUGUUCACAGUUUCCAUGUGUUACUAUCUGUUUCAUUUCAGAGUAAUUUAGCAUGUUAAAUGUGAUACUUAAAACAUAAUGAGAAUGUUUGAUGUGAUCCUACACUUCAUUCAUAUGUGUUUAGUACCAAAUUAUUUAUCAUGAAACCAAACAUUCAAUGAUAUUAAUCAUAGUGAGUGAGUAUCAGAUCUGACUCUUUUACCAGCCAAAAGAAUAAGUUAGAUCAAAUAAUCAGAGACCACAUGAACCCUCCUCUUUCUCCUCUCACACACACGCCAGAGACACUCCCAGUGUGAGAAGAUAAAACCAGUGAAGUGGGGUUGCUCACGUUCUUAUCCUCUCUUAUCCCUAGUCUCUUAUUCUGCUCUUCUCUUAUGCCCCGUACUCUUGUACCCUUCCUCUUCUUUAUUUUCUCUUAGAACUUUUCUUAGUCUUCUAAGUUUUACGCCACGUGUUGAUUCACGUUGAUUUUUCUUUAACAUCGUCUUAGUUCAAGUUUUGAAACUUCAACUUUUUGUGCGCAUAGCGAUUCAAGAUUAAGCCUUUGAUUGAUUUUUCUUUAAUUUCGCGAAGCCAUUUUUGAAAGUUUCUCUACUCACCGAGCCUCGUUUAUCUGAGUUAUCUGCGUGAUUUCAAAGUCACCUCUGAACGCAACCCAGCAGGCCCAGGUCAUCCUCUGUGCCAGAGUUUUUGAGUGAGACCAAAGAAGCGUCCAAACGAGCAUCCACAGGAUCCACAGGCGCCGGCUUUACUCCAGGCUCGAGUGCUACAACUCCAGGCCCAUCCUUCGGCUGACUUCAGUCGUCUUCUGAGCUGAACCGCUCUAACUGCCGGUAGCCCAGGACCUUCGGAACCUGCUCCAUCUUCUCCAAGGACCAGUCUCACUUAAGUAUGCAAACCUCCAGAGCUCCAAACAGGGCUGGUGCUGUCUCAUGCGUUCAUAGCUCAGAUAUCCUCUUAUUCUGGUGAUCUUAGAUUCCUCCAAAUCCACAUCCGAGUUUAUCUCGACACCAAAGUUAGUGUAGGUUAAUAUGUUAGCGCAUAUUCACUCACUAUCAUUAACUUUAGUGCUCCUAGUCUGACUCAGAAUCUUUAUUUAUUCACCUAUUAUUAUUUUAUCCUCAUUAUCUUAUCAUCAUUUAUUGCAUGUAUGUUGUACCAUCAUUUAUCCUGUAAUAAACAGAUCAUUAUUUUUCUAAGUUCUUGUCUGUUAGUGUUCUUCCAGAAGUGGAGCCCCUGAAAUGAGAAUUUCGGCUUAAGAUAUGCGACUGAUUAAUUAAAACUGACGUGAUGUUUGAUUUCUGAAUUAAACUUUUGUUUUCUUUAUUUUCCCACCAUUAAGGGUGGGUGGUGCCCCUUUCAACGAGUGCAUAAAUGUCAUAAUUUGAGAUUAUUAAUCUUCAGACAUUUAUUAUAAAUUCCAAUCGCUACAGUAUUACUUUGGUGCGACCGUGUGAGGCUCAUUUCAAACCGUAUUAUUUUGGUGCGGCUGUGUGAGGCUCAUUUCGAAUCGCUACACUAAUAACCUAGCGUUUGGAGGGCAAUCCAGAGCAGUGGAUUAAACAGAGUGGCGACACUCCCAUAGGCAUACGCUGUACAGCCCGGCGGACCCCGCUUCCGGGUUAUGGCACUCUUAAUAGUUCCAACAUGACCGCCUGUCACGUCGGACGCCGUUCGCUUCUAUGGCCACAAGGCAAGCACUCACCGAGGUUAAAUGAUAAAAUAUCAACAAGUUUAAUGCCAAUACAUGUGUUAUUGAUAUCGAGGGGACCCCUUUAAAUGUAAAAAUGUAUAUCCCAAAUGUAAUUACGUUUUUUUAGUCAGGAAUUGGGAUUGAUUUUUUUAGCCACGGUUUGCUCCCACACUCCCCAAGGUAAAAUAUUGUAUCAACGAAUUUAAUGCCAAUACGUGUGUAAAUGGUAUCGAGGGAC